rnacentral:tRNA from 1 species
CGAAAUUGUAGUUUAAUAAAAAUAUUAGCAUUGGAAGCUAAAGAAUAGGUACACUCCUACAUUUCGA